GAAAUGCGAUAAGUAGUGUGAAUUGCAGAAUUCAGUGAAUCAUCGAAUCUUUGAACGCACAUUGCGCCCCUCGGUACUCCUUGGGGCAUGCCUGUUCGAGCGUCAUUUCAACCCUCAAGCUCAGCUUGGUGAUGGGCGAUCGUCCCGCCGCUCGCGCGUGGACCCGCCUCGAAAGCAUUGGCGGCCGGUACGUUGGCUUCGAGCGCAGCACAUAAGCGCCUCGAGCCCGGCGGACCGGCCCUCCAUGAAGCCAAACCCCACAGCUUUGACCUCGGAUCAGGUAGGGAUACCCGCUGAACUUAA
rnacentral:misc_RNA from 1 species